GACCUCAAAUCAAGUAGGACUACCCGCUGAACUUAAGCAUAUCAAUAAGCGGAGGAAAAGAAACUAACAAGGAUUCCCCUAGUAACGGCGAGUGAAGUGGGAAAAGCUCAAUUUUGAAAUCUGGCCCUUUCAGGGUCCGAGUUGUAACCUCGAGAAGCAGCGUCCGCGCCGGACCUUGGACAAGUCGGUUGGAAAACCGCGUUAGAGAGGGUGACAAUCCCGUUGAUGCCAAGGACGCCCGUGUGCAUUGUGGCCUGUUCUCCAAGAGUCGAGUUGUUUGGGAAUGCAGCUCAAAUUGGGAGGUAGAUUCCUUCUAAAGCUAAAUAUUGGCGAGAGACCGAUAGCGAACAAGUACCGUGAGGGAAAGAUGAAAAGCACUUUGGAAAGAGAAUGAAACAGUAUGUGAAAUUGCUGAAAGGGAAACGA
rnacentral:rRNA from 1 species